rnacentral:sRNA from 1 species
UGAGUUCGUACCGCGAUUGAGGAUGAG